rnacentral:misc_RNA from 1 species
UAAAGCUCUUGCAUUUGAUGGUGUUUUUAUCACACUUUACAACAUUGCAAUAGAAAAAUCCCAGGUAGUUCUGUGUGAUCAUGUCAAAGAAGCUGUCCCUUCAACAUGGGAGCCUGCUGCAUUGGCAAGUUUUAUAGAAAAAUAUGGUACUCAUGUGGUCAUUGGUGUCAAAAUGGGGGGAAGGGAUAUAGUAUAUGUGAAGCAGACAUAUACUGAUCAGCAGCACUUAUCGCCUCUUGAGCCUGUUGAUGUACAGAAAAAAUUAAAAGACAUGGCAGACAAGCUGUUUGUAGAUGGAACUGGACAGAAUAUCUCAGAAAAGUUUGUCAAGGAUCAUGGAUUCACUUUCACAGACCAGUUUCCGUCCAGCUCUUAUUCCCAUACAGCGGGAAUUAAAUUCAUACAUAGGAGGAAAGGCGGGUCAAAUAAAAGCCGGCACCACAGUGAGUGGUGUCAAACUGUUCAGUUUGAACCUGAUGUUAUCUCAAUGUCAUUCAUCCCAAUCACUUCUCUAUUGAGUGGAAUUAAUGGGAGUGGAUUUUUGACCCAUGCUAUCAACCUCUACAUCCGCUACAAGCCACCAAUAGAAGAAUUACAUCAGUUUCUGGAAUUUCAGCUUCCAAGGCAAUGGGCACCAGUGUUUGGUGAGCUUGCCCUGGGUCCGGAUAGGAAGCAACAAUCUAGCCCAUCUUUGCAGUUCAGCUUCAUGGGUCCUAAACUUUAUGUUAAUACGACACCGGUUGACGUAGGGAUGAAGCCAGUUACUGGCCUUCGACUGUUUUUGGAAGGGAAAAAAAGCAGCUGCUUAGCAAUUCACUUGCAGCAUCUUUCAUCGCUUCCUAAGACCUUUCAACUGGAGCACGAACAGAUAGGCAACAUCUCUGAUCCCUCCUCUGAACGCAGGUACUAUGAGAAGGUUCAGUGGAAGAGUUUCUCGCAUAUUUGUACAGC